ACUUAAAUUGAAGNAGUUUGAUCAUGGCUCAGAUUGAACGCUGGCGGCAGGCCUAACACAUGCAAGUCGAGCGGUAGCACAGAGAGCUUGCUCUCGGGUGACGAGCGGCGGACGGGUGAGUAAUGUCUGGGAAAC
rnacentral:rRNA from 1 species